rnacentral:rRNA from 1 species
UACGAAGGGGGCUAGCGUUGUUCGGAAUCACUGGGCGUAAAGCGCGUGUAGGCGGACUGUUAAGUCGGGGGUGAAAUCCCGAGGCUCAACCUCGGAAUUGCCUUCGAUACUGGCAGUCUUUGAGUCCGGGAGAGGUGAGUGGAACUCCUAGUGUAGAGGUGAAAUUCGUAGAUAUUCGCAAGAACACCAGUGGCGAAGGCGGCUCACUGGCCCGAUACUGACGCUGAGGUGCGAAAGCGUGGGGAGCAAACAGG